rnacentral:rRNA from 1 species
AUUGAACGCUGGCGGCAGGCUUAACACAUGCAAGUCGAGCGGGGAAAGGUAGCUUGCUACCUGACCUAGCGGCGGACGGGUGAGUAAUGCUUAGGAAUCUGCCUAUUAGUGGGGGACAACAUCUCGAAAGGGAUGCUAAUACCGCAUACGUCCUACGGGAGAAAGCAGGGGACCCUCGGGCCUUGCGCUAAUAGAUGAGCCUAAGUCGGAUUAGCUAGUUGGUGGGGUAAAGGCCUACCAAGGCGACGAUCUGUAGCGGGUCUGAGAGGAUGAUCCGCCACACUGGGACUGAGACACGGCCCAGGCUCCUACGGGAGGCAGCAGUGGGGAAUAUUGGACAAUGGGGGGAACCCUGAUCCAGCCAUGCCGCGUGUGUGAAGAAGGCCUUUUGGUUGUAAAGCACUUUAAGCGAGGAGGAGGCUACCGAGAUUAAUACUCUUGGAUAGUGGACGUUACUCGCAGAAUAAGCACCGGCUAACUCUGUG